rnacentral:sRNA from 1 species
AGGGACCAUGAGAGGCUCUUUCAAUUUUUUUAAUUAUAAAUUUUGACAUUGGAGUUGGUAC